ACGAACGCUGGCGGCGCGCCUAACACAUGCAAGUCGAACGAGCAAAGAGGAGCUUGCUUCUCUGAGCGAGUGGCGAACGGGUGAGUAACGCGUGAGGAACCUGCCUCAAAGAGGGGGACAACAGUUGGAAACGACUGCUAAUACCGCAUAAGCCCACAGGUCGGCAUCGACCAGAGGGAAAAGGAGCAAUCCGCUUUGAGAUGGCCUCGCGUCCGAUUAGCUAGUUGGUGAGGUAACGGCCCACCAAGGCGACGAUCGGUAGCCGGACUGAGAGGUUGCACGGCCACAUUGGGACUGAGACACGGCCCAGACUCCUACGGGAGGCAGCAGUGGGGAAUAUUGCACAAUGGGGGAAACCCUGAUGCAGCGACGCCGCGUGGAGGAAGAAGGUCUUCGGAUUGUAAACUCCUGUUGUUGAGGAAGAUAAUGACGGUACUCAACAAGGAAGUGACGGCUAACUACGUGCCAGCCGCCGCAGUAAUAC
rnacentral:rRNA from 1 species